GGAGGGAGCAAGAGCUAACACAGCACUGAAGAAAUUUAAAAGCUGCAAGCCCUGCCUUUUGAGGAUGGCCAGGGGGCCCUCUGCGGCCUGGUAGGCCUUCUCGGAGACAGCCCUGAGGCAUGUCAUGGGAGAGCGUGGCAGCGGGCUAGGCUUGUGGCUUGGACGAAAUCAUGACUCUGUCUAACACAACUCGGAUUAGCCUAAGCAAAUCAGAGAACGUACUGGGAGAAUAUUGAAUAGAUGCGGCAUCCACGGAGGAGGGAUCCACACCAGGGCCUCAGGGCUUGGGGCUAGGGUUUUCCUUGGCUGCUGCAUGGCCCCAUCCUGAGAUAAGCUCUCCCUGUGAUGGGAAGAGCCCCCAGAUCAUACCCUGACACCCCGAGGGGAAAGAGAAAGCCUUUUUCCCUGGCCUCUCUAAAGCAGUCCUACGGCAGGAUUCUGACUGGCCUUAGUUGAUCACUGCUGUCCUCUUGGGCUACUGCAGUGGCAUGAAUAAUGUUUGGGAGGCCAGAGUCACAUGCUCACGCUGGGAGUCAGGUGACAGGCACUACGAGUGACAGCCCUGUUAAUGUGACAGGAACCCAAAGGAAAGAAGAAUAGGCUAGAAUAACUGAAGCCCACAAAGAGGUGCAUUGCAGACCUACUGCUGCCUUGAUGAAGCUCAUUGUGAGGACGUUCACUGUCAGUGCUUCCAGACCUGUGCCAACGGGGUAUGGCCAAGAGCCGUGGCGGCCAAGAGCCUGAAACGUGUGGAGUCCAAAAGAGGUGUGCUGUAACUGGACUUCAAGAUGUAAUAGAAAAAAAAAAAGAAUGUAAAUUAUCCUACGAAUAAUUUUUAAAACUGUAUUACAUGUUGAAAUGAUCAUAUUUUGUAUACAUCCAUUUCGACCACAUAUAUUGUCAAAAUUACCUUUAUCAUUUUACCUUCUUUUUAAAGAUUUUAUUUAUUCAUGAGAGACACACACAGAGGGGGGGAGGGGGCAGAGACACAGGCAGAGGGAGAAGCAGGAUCCAUGCAGGGAACCUGACGUGGGACUUGAUCCCGGGUCUCCAGGAUCAUGCCUUGGGCUGAAGGCGGCGGUAAACCGCUGAGCCACCCAGGCGUCCCCAUUUUACCUUUUUUAAAGUGACUUCUAGACAUUUAAAAUUACAUAUGCAGCUCACAUUUUAUUUCUCUUGAUGGUACAGUUGUAAACUGGGUUCAUAUUUCUAUCUUGGGGGUAUUCACAUAGCAAAAUACCAGUUGAUCCUUAAGUUUACUAAGCCAAUGGAUCAUGUAGUUUUAUUUUCCUUGAAACUGUCUCCUGAAACUUCAUUGUGUGUUCCUUGUUUGAAUGUAGGGGGACUUUAGGGAGUAAGUCAUUAUUUUCCCUUUGUGAUUUUGAGACAGAAAUCUAGUUCGUGGUGACUGGGUGAUGGGCACAAAGGAGGGCACUCAAUGUGCUGAGCACUGGGUCUUAUAUGUUGGCAAAUUGAAUUUAAAUUAAAAAAAAAAACUAGCUCAUCUAAAAAGGCCUAGUCUUGGGGAGCCUGCGUGAUUCAGUCAGUUAAGCAUCUGACUCUUGGUUUCGGAUCAGGUUAUGAUCUCAUGGGUCAUGAUCUUAAUGGUCAGGACAUCCAGCAGCAUGAGCCCCAUGUGGGGUUCUGUGGGGUUCCAUGCUCUGCAGGGAGUCUACCUGAGAUGCUCUCCCUCUGCCCCUCCCUCUACUCGCACAUGUAUGCACGCUCUCUCUUUCUUAAAAUAAUCUUAAAAAGAAAAUCACUAGCAUUCUGAGUUACUUUGUUUUAGCUUACAAAUUAUUUCUGUACCUCCUUUGUUGACUCAUCAAGCAUUUAGUCUGCAAUCCAGAUGUGAGAAAAUGUUUCAGAGCUUAAUCAAAGUGGGAGCUCUUUGCCCACCUAUGGGUCCCAUGCUUGCCUCCCUCCAUCCUUCCAUUCUUCCAUCCCUCCAUUCAACAAGUGGUUACAGCCUCUCGUAUGUGCUAUGCACUGGGCUGGGGGGUCCUGGGAAUGAAGCAGUGAGCCAGCCAGGCUGUUCCCCAAACUGGUGGACCUGGCAGUCAGUAGCACCAGCUUCCGCUUGCCUGCACAUCUGGUGAAUCCGUGGGUCUAAACCAAUUUCCCCCAAAACUCUUGCAGGAAAAGCACAAGGCCUAGUAUGGAGAGUCUCGGGAUAAUUCAGCUUGAAUGGAGAAGGUGAGGACACCAGCAGGGUCCCCUCUCAAAGGGCUCUCUGAAAACCCCUGUUAAAUCACCCUCCUCUCUCCAAACAUGCUUUAGUUAUUAUGUCUUCCAGUAAUACAUUUUGAUUAGCUGGAUUACAGCUAAGAUCCCUACUUAAUCAAGCAAAAUUAAGGAGCUUUUCCUGAAAUUGACAUAUUGAGAGAAAUACAUCCAAAACCAAACCAAAA
rnacentral:lncRNA from 1 species